rnacentral:ncRNA from 1 species
AGUAGUUGACUGGACCAUCUAGGGGUAAAGCACUGUUUCAGUACGGGCCGCGAGAGCGGUACCAAAUUGAGGCAAACUCUGAAUACUAGAUUGCCCCAAUAAAAGGGGUAAAGGUUAUCCAGUGAAACGAUGGGGGAUAAGCUUCAUUGUCGAGAGGGAAACAACCCAUAUCAUCAGCUAAGGCCCCUAAAUGACCGCUCAGUGAUGAAGGAAGUACGAGUGUAAAGACAACCAGGAGGUUUGCCUAGAAGCAGCCAACCUUGAAAGAGUGUGUAAUAGCUCACUGAUCAAGUGCUCUUGCACCGAAUAUGAAUGGGACUAAGCGAUCUGCUGAAGCUGUGGGAUGUAAAAAUACAUCGGUAGGGGAGUGUUCCGCCUCAGAGGGAAUCACCGGUGUGAGAAGGUGUGGACGAAGCAGAAGCGAGAAUUUCGGCUUGAGUAACGCAAACAUUGGUGAGAAUCCAAUGCCCCAAAAACCUAAGGGUUCCUCCGCAAGGUUCUUCCAUAGAAGGUGAGUCAGGGCCUAAUAUCAGGCCGAAAGGUGUAGUCUAUGGACAAUAGGUUAAUAUUCAUGUACUACCCCUUCUUGGUCCCGAGGGACGGAGGAGUCUAGGUUAGCCGAAAGAUGGUUAUCGGUUCAAGGACGCAAGGUGACCCUGCUUUUUUUAGGGUAAGAAGGGGUAGAGAAAAUGCCUCGAGCCAAUGUCCGAGUACCAAGC